rnacentral:lncRNA from 1 species
UUGAUUCGAAGUGCAGAAUUGGGAGUAAGAAACUUUAGUUAAGAGUCCACUCUUUAAGUGGUAAGGCAAUCAGUGGAUGAUAACAAUGAGGAGAUUAGGGAGCUAUGUUGGCUUAGUGUAAAAGCCAGUGGAGAGGAUCAGGAGUUGGGAGGGGUACUUCAAGGAAGGAGAAAAAGGAGGGGAUGGGUUUCAACGAGAAGUUAAAAGGUAAUACAACGAGUGGCUUCAGGAUAGGG